rnacentral:rRNA from 1 species
UACGUAGGGCGCAAGCGUUAUCCGGAAUUAUUGGGCGUAAAGAGCUCGUAGGCGGUUUGUCGCGUCUGCCGUGAAAGUCCGGGGCUCAACUCCGGAUCUGCGGUGGGUACGGGCAGACUAGAGUGCGGUAGGGGGAGAUUGGAAUUCCUGGUGUAGCGGUGGAAUGCGCAGAUAUCAGGAGGAACACCAAUGGCGAAGGCAGAUCUCUGGGCCGUAACUGACGCUGAGGAGCGAAAGCAUGGGGGAGCGAACAGG